AUACUUACCUGACGCGAGAGGCACCUUGAUCAACUAGGAGGUCCUCUCAGGAUGAGGCCCUUUCAUUGCACUUCGACUGGGUUGACUCCUGCGAUUACCCCUAAUGUGGGUAACUCGAGCGUAUAAUUUUUGGUAGUGGGGACCUGCGUUCGCGCUCGUCCCCU
rnacentral:snRNA from 1 species